rnacentral:rRNA from 1 species
UUCCCGUUGAUCCUGCCGGACCCGACUGCUAUCAGAGUGGGACUAAGCCAUGCGAGUCGACGUAGCAAUGCGUGGCGAACGGCUCAGUAACACGUAGUCAACAUGCCCAGGGGACGUGGAUAACCUCGGGAAACUGAGAAUAAACCACGAUAGGUCACGAUUUCUGGAAUGGAUCAUGGCCUAAAUCUACAUGGCCCCUGGAUUGGACUGCGGCCGAUCAGGCUGUUGGUGAGGUAAUGGCCCACCAAACCCAUAACCGGUACGGGCUCUGAGAGGAGAAGCCCGGAGAUGGGCACUGAGACAAGGGCCCAGGCCCUAUGGGGCGCAGCAGGCGCGAAACCUCUGCAAUAGGCGAAAGCCUGACAGGGUUACUCUGAGUGAUUUCCGCUAAGGGGAUCUUUUGGCACCUCUAAAAAUGGUGCAGAAUAAGGGGUGGGCAAGUCUGGUGUCAGCCGCCGCGGUAAUACCAGCACCCCGAGUGGUCGGGACGAUUAUUGGGCCUAAAGCAUCCGUAGCCGGUUCUGCAAGUCUUCCGUUAAAUCCAGCCGCUCAACGGAUGGGCCGCGGAGGAUACUACAGGACUAGGAGGCGGGAGAGGCAAGCGGUACUCAGUGGGUAGGGGUAAAAUCCUUUGAUCCAUUGAAGACCACCAGUGGCGAAGGCGGCUUGCCAGAACGCGCUCGACGGUGAGGGAUGAAAGCUGGGGGAGCAAACCGGAUUAGAUACCCGGGUAGUCCCAGCUGUAAACGAUGCAGACUCGGUGAUGGGCUAGCCUUGUGCCAGCCCAGUGCCGCAGGGAAGCCGUUAAGUCUGCCGCCUGGGGAGUACGGUCGCAAGACUGAAACUUAAAGGAAUUGGCGGGGGAGCA